GUGCUAGCUUUAGCAGCACAUAUACUAAGAUUGGAAUGAUACAGAGAAGAUUAGCACAACCCCUGCGCAAGGAUGACAUGCAAAUUUGUGAUGUGUUCCAUAUUUUA
rnacentral:snRNA from 1 species